GCCCUGAACACCACCAGAGCUGGAGGACUUUCAUUGCUGCCCAGGCACCAGCGGCGUAACAGGCAUAUGGAUUUCGUGAAAGGAUCUCAAAAAUAUGUACAAUUCAGUCACGGAACUAAACAGCAACAAGGAACCAGGCAUCAGACAGUAUAAUGUAUGGAGGACAAGCAGCAUAAAGUUGCCUGCUGGAAGCAUGUCAUUAUUCCUGUCUGUUGACCAAGGGGACGAGUUUCAUGAGGUGCCUUACACUUGUGUCUGCGUCACUUUGAUCUGGAUGACCAGGAAUAGGGAAAGACCCCAUCAGUAUCUGCAGAACAUGGAAACACGAUAGAAUCUACUAAACACCACUCACAACAAAGACUGACAAAUCGUGCAAAUAGUACAAAAAGCAAACAAACUGAGUUGUAGCUGCAGAGUCAUUUCUGUGCUGAAGCAAAUGAAGCCGGUCCAGGAGCCCAGUGGCUGCAGGGCAACAACUGUUCCCGAAGCUGGCAGCGUUGGACCCAAGUCCCCUCCCUGCACCUAUGGUAAUAGCAAGAAGAGAAGGUCAAACACAGGCAGACGGCACUACAUACUGGUUCGUUUUCUGCUCGCGGACCUCGAUGCAGCAUCCACCCAAUUGUGAUGGCUGCCCAGGCAACGGCAAGCUCGGUAUUCUCGAGAAUCAAGUUCGUUGAAUCCUUCAGGUUGUAAAAUCACUAGUUAAUUUAGAUGGUCCAAAAGUACCAUCAGAAGUGAAGAGCCCAUAUUGAAUGUUAUGUGUUACAAAACUGAGGAUUGUUCAAUCUAUUAAUGACUCCUACAUAAAGAAAUUUUGUGAAGCAUAUUGUAUCUUUCCUCGGAGUAUACAAUGGAAUGUAUCACAGGAAAGUACACUGUGAACCGAUAAUUUCAUUUUGCUUGGCUUGUGUGCUUGACAGAAAAUGCAUUAUUUUUUUCACAGAGUGUACAUGGCUCACAGUCACUCCAUGGGGAUAAACUAAAGCUGGUUUUAAAGAACUAAAAAUAAAGGAUUUGGAAAUGUCAGUUAUAAUCACGUUUUAUUGAGAUGAUGGAUGUCAUUCCUGUGAAAUAGAGCAUAUUUCAUUUUUGGCAGCUAAUGUUAAUGGCCCAGCAACCAGGUCAAGAUUAGUAGGUUUAUAUUUGACAUACAGUUUUUCAAUAUGAGAACACUUUUUAGAUUAUUACAUACAACAAAACCUCCAGGAUAUUCUUUUUAAGUAAGAUUGUAUAGCAGAGUGAGAAAACCUUUCUGUAGCUUCUCUUUAACUUCAGCCUUAAAAGACGGAGGCCCAGUGUAUCAAUUGUUCUUUCCCAUUUUUGACACGCAGCAUUUUCAUGUAGUG